ACAGUAUUAUAUAAUGACUAGGAAGGGAAAAAGGGGGAAAAACUAUGCAUGAUGACAAGAAAAAGUGGGAAAAGAUAGAACUGAUAUUUCCAUCAAACAUGAUUUCAUUAGUAAUUUGCACAAUUACUCUGGUGUCUGGCUGUAUUUUUUCCAGUAGAUGCCUUCUCUUCAGGACUCUUCUGAUGGAAGGACUUAAGGCACCAAAGAAAGACAGGAAAAGGGUAUUUUCAGGACCAUCAGGUGGGGGAAGAGCAACAGGAAGGAGGAAGUCUUACCAACUGAAUGGGCACCGGCAGCCCCCACAUACCGUCCACUAGCAGCAGCAUUGCUUCUUACAGCACUUCUGCUGGCAGCAGCUCUUCUGCUGGCAGCAGCCCUUCCCACCGCCGCAGCCACACGAGCCACAGCCACACGAGCCGCAGCCACAGGAGCGGCGGCAGCAGCAGACCACGGGGGUACUGCAGCAGCCCCCGCAGCAGCCGCAGCAGCAGGGGCAGCAGGCGGAGCAGCAGCCCACCCGGUAGCACCUGCAGGUGGUGCAGCUGCCGCAGCCGCCCCCGCAGCCACCGCUGCAGCCACCGCAGCCGCCACCGCAGCCACCACAGCCACCACAACUUCCACAGCCACAGCACCCCAUGGUGUCAGGAGAGACGAGGGAGUAGAGACGAGGGAGACUCAGGAGGUGAGAGAGGUCUGAUGCCGCCUUCUGCCGGGGGAGCCCCUUAUGUACCAACUCCGGGGGUAGGAGCGGGAAGACACGUGACCACUUCCCUGUGGUUGAUUUCAGCUCCUAUAGGAAAACUUCAGGCUCUUCCUGUUUAUUUCCUGACACCUCUAGUCUCAUUAAGUCACCUGUUUUCAGUUUAGCUAAAUUUAUCUCUGUUUCACCCCACGGGAAUAUUUAACAGAGAACCUAUCCCCGUUUUCAAAUAUAGCUGGUCUUGGAAUCGAUGAGCUGGGACACGCAUCUGCCCGCUGACAUUUUGUUGCUCACCAGUACUUUCGCUGGCGGAAUUAUUUUUUCCCUUGACACUUCUUUUAGGAAAAUUCUUAGAGGUCCUUUCAGUAGGGAAAAGAGAACAUAGAACCUUAAAUAAAGGAGGUAACUUGCAAUACCUACCACAUUUUCUACCACCGGUCAGCAUGCCACGGAGCAAAGAGGCCACAUCACUCUAGACUAGCAAACGUGUAUUUCUUCUUCCUGGGACACAUGCUCUGGCUGCAAAUGGUGAGUUCACUCAGCAAAUGAUAAAAACCAUCCUCCCUGGAGAAGCCCACAGUCUCCAGAUUCAUCCUCAGGACCUUCACACUCUCGAAUGUCUGCCUUGUCAUUAGUUCUCCUUGCACGAGUCCCAUGUGUAGCUUCAGGCUUGGCCACAGAACAGGCAACAAGGCGGCCACUCGGUGAGCUUUCCAAGGCUCUGGGGAGCUCCUCCGUCCCCAGAGACUCCUUCAUCCGAUGGCUGCCUUCUGAGCGUCAGCUUUAAUUUUAAGAUAACACAAGCCCAGUCCUUGCUCA
rnacentral:lncRNA from 1 species